UACGGAAUGUGCAAACGUUAUUCGGAAUCACUGGGCUUAAAGAGUCCGUAGGCGGCUUGUUAGGUGAGGUGUGAAAGCCCUCGGCCCAACCGAGGAAUUGCGCUUCAAACCGGCAAGCUAGAGGAGGAUAGAGGUGGGCGGAACUGAUGGUGGAGCGGUGAAAUGCGUUGAUAUCAUCAGGAACACCGGAGGCGAAGGCGGUUCACUGGGUCCUUUCUGACGCUGAGGGACGAAAGCUAGGGGAGCGAACAGG
rnacentral:rRNA from 1 species